CAGAGGUGGAUGCAAUCACUCUCCCAUCAUACUGUUUGCUUUCUUUUUUACCUUCUUGGGAGUCAAGGGCAAAGGAGCAAGUACUAUCCUGGUGAUUACUAUGAGGUGAGCUUCUUGAGGUCCUUGGCCUGGUCUGCUGACCCUGUUGGGAUGAUCUGCACUAAUUAAUAUCUAGCAUGGAGCCACAGACUAACACUGGCACUUCAGAUCUCUCUUCCCUCCACAUUGUCCGUGCCCUGGAGUUGGGGCUGCUCCCAAAGUUUGAAAGUUGUCUUUGGAGAACCCAAGCUUCAUCAAAGGGUACAGUGUCCACUAUUAAACAGGAGGCAGCAUGCACUGUCUGGGACGGUCAAGGUCUUAGUCUGGGAACCUCACGUAACUGCUGGAAAUGUUCCAGAAUCAUAGACGUUAAAGACAGAAAAAUCCUACUAGACUACCAAGGGGCCAGGGGAGGAUUAUUCCCUACAGUCUUUUCUCCAAGGGUGUGUCCAGCCAUGUUUGAAAUGUACAAAGGAGUUCACAGCUAUCUCACUGUCAGGGCAUUUUGCUGGAAUUUAUUGGCAACUUACAUUCUUCUUGGAGUGCUUGCACAUAUCCAUUCCAGUGUAGGUGUGUGCUCGCCCCGAGCACAGCCAACGGAAAGUUUUCCCUCCAUCUGGUCGGCUCUGAUGCCUCCUGGAGUCGCACACUCAUCGCGCUGGUAUAAAGGGUCCUGCUGACCCACAGCCCCCUUAGUUCCUUCUUGCCAACCAGCUUCGACAGAGGGACAGGAGGGAGGGUGUUGGAAUGGACAAGUGCAACAAAUCUCAAAGAACAACAGUUACAGAAAGGCUUCCCCAGGAUAUGCUACAAAAGCUGUAAGAUGCCUCAGAUGCCAGUGCAGGAACAAGAAAAAAGGAGGACUAAGUCGGUCACCUGGGAGGUCUCUACCCCCAGCGCAGAGCUCUUCUGUUGCCCCAGGAUGAGGCAGGGACUGGUAUAUCAAGAAACUGCAUAGGAUAUUUUUCCUGCAGAGGUAUGACAUCAUGCCUGGCAGCCUCCCAAGGCACCGUAUCCAAUUAUCUGAGUCAUCAACAAAGAUAAAUUGUCAAGGGAUUGUCUCUGAAUUUGGCCCCAGUAAAUACAAGAGCAGAAAAGGCAAAGAGAAAUGGCUGACUGCAGUAGGGUGACCAGAUGUCCUGAUUUUAUAGGGACAGUCCUGAUAUUUGGGCUUUGUCUUGUAUAGGCACCUAUUACCACCCCACCCCUUGUCCCGAUUUUUUCACACUUGCUAUCUGGUCACCCUAGACAGCAGAGUGGGGGUACACAUACACACAGAGAGAACACAAGAAUUAGAAGGGAUGCAGGAAAUCCAGAUACAUGCAGAUACCGGGAAAAACACUGAUUUGCUCACUUUCACACGUACAUGCUUUUGCCCACACAAUCUCACACAUGUAUAUUCGCACUCCUACAUGUGUAUGCUCACAAACACCUAUUUUCACAUAGCGCACAUAAAAAAUAUAUACACUCUAUCAUAUGCACACACAAAUACACUAUAGCAGACAUGCACAAACGUACACCCACAUAAAUGCAAACUGAAAUCACACACCUAGAUGCAUAUAACACAGCACCAACACAUAAACAUGUAUGCACCCAAGCUCAAUGAUGAUACUAUCUGUAUAACAGCUGCUUAAUCACAUAGUAGCUGUUCUUGUUUACAACAUAAUGAGGAACCAGAAACAUUGGCCCAAAUUAUUCCCUCUGCCUUCCGUGUCAGAGGAGACAAAACCCUAUGGAAUUGAGACAGGGGUAUCAUUCCACACAGUAAACCUCCUGUGGGCAUGGGGAUCUCUGUGUAAGGAGGAGAGAAUGAGUACAGGAGAGAGGCGGGCUGCAGCGAAUAAGCACGGCGACCUUACCAGCCCUCUGUGGAUUUUAUAGCAGAGAUAUUACUGAUUGAAUCACUAUGGUGAUUAACUUUGGUGCACUACCCUCAUCCUACGGAAUCUCCUGUGAGGGGAGUCCAGGGGUAUCAGCCAGUAGGACAGAGGCAGUGCUGAGACACAGCAACUCUACAUAGACAUCGAUGGUCUUUGGCAAAUCCCCUAAAACUAUGAUACGGGGUGGGGGAGGGGAAACCUCCUGCCUCUUCCAGGUGUUUAUAUGAGAGCAAAGUCCCUACUCCAGUAGAACAACACAGAGGAAACCCUGCAAAGGGAGUUUCAUAGAGUUCCCAAUCCUCCACAUAAGGAUUGAUCUGGCUAUUGGACAAUGGCAGGUCUAUUGCUUUUUUGUAUGCAGUGUAAACAAAUCUUCAUUAGAGACCAGACUGAGACCCUUCUCUCUUAUGACUCAGCCUGGAUUUUAACCUGGAUCUCGACUGCAUUUACUUUGCCCUGAUCUACAGUACGGGGUUAGGUCGAAUUUAGCGGCGUUAGGUCAAUUUUAAAAUGAAUGCGUCUACACAACCUACCCCGUCCAUUGACCAAAAGGGCUCUUAAAAUAAACUUCUGUACUCCUCCCCGGCGAGGGGAGUAGCGUUAAAAUUGAUGUUGCUGGGUCAAAUUUGGGGUAGUGCAGACGCAAGUCGAUGGUAUUGGCCUCUGGGAGCUAUCCCAGAGUGCUCCAACGUGACCGCUCUGGACAGCACUUUGAACUCCGAUGCACUAGCCAGGUACACAGGAAAAGCCCCAGGAAAUUUUGAAUUUCAUUUUCUGUUUGAUCAGCGUGGCGAACUCAGCAGCACAGGUGACCAUGCAGUCCCCCCCAGAAUCCGAAAUGAGCUCCAGCAAGGACCGAAAGGGAGACACUGGAUCUGAUUGCUGUAUGGGGAGAAGAACCUGUGCAGGCCGAACUCUGAUCAAAAAGAAGAAAUGCUCAUAUAUAUGCCAAAAUUGCACAGGGCAUGGUGGAGAGAGGCUACAACAGGGACACACAGCAGUGCCGCGUGAAAGUUAAGGAGCUGAGGCAAGCCUACCAAAAGAUAAAGGAGGCAAAUGGUCGCUCUGGAUCAGAGCCCCAUACAUGCUGCUUCUAUGAUCAGCUGCAUGGCAUUCUAGGGGGGGACCCUACCACUACCCCACCACUGUCUUUCAACACCUGCAAGGGGGAAUCUCACGCAACAGGGAGGAGGAUUUUGUGGAUGAGGAAGAGGAGGAGGAGAAGGAGGAGAAUGUGCAGCAGGCAAGCUGUGAAUCCAUUCUCCCCAGCAGCCAGGACCUUUUCAUCACCCUGGAGCCAGUACCCUCCCAAGGCGGGAUCCCCGACCCUGAAGCCGGAGAAGGUAGCUCUGGUGCAAAUGUUUCUAUGCUUCCCCUAUCAUCUCCGACCCUGAGGUUAUCGCAGAUUAGAAGUCGAAAAAAAAACGCACUCACGAUGACAUGUUUUCUGAGCUCAUGCAGUCCUCCCGCACAGAUAGGGCACAGCUUAAUGCAUGGAGGCAUUCAGUGGCAGAGGCCAGGAAAGCAUUAAGUGACCACGAAGAGCAGAGGCAGGAGGCGAUGCUGAGGCUAAUGGGGGAGCAAACGGACAUGUGAAGCAUCCGUUGGAGCUGCAGGAAAGCCAACAAGAGCACAGACCCCCUCUGCAUCCAGUGUAUAACCGCCUGCCCUCCUCCCCAUGUUCCAUAACCUCCUCACCCAGACGCCCAAGAACGCGGGGGGGUGGGAGGCUCCGGGCACCCAGCCACUCCACUCCAGAGGAUGGCCCAAGCAACAGAAGGCUGUCAUUCAAACAGUUUUGAUUUAUAGUGUAGCUACAAUAAGCAAUGUGGCCUUGUCCUUCCCUCCUCCCACACCCCACCCCACCCGGGCUACCUUGUCAGUUAUCUGACUUUUUUUUUUAAUUAAUAA